rnacentral:misc_RNA from 2 species
AACGCACAUUGCGCUCCCUGGUAUUCCGGGGAGCAUGCCUGUUCGAGCGUCAUUAUCAACCCUCAAGCCCUGCUUGGUAUUGGGUGCCGUCCCUGCUGCGGACGCGCCCUAAAGACGUUGGCGGUGGUGUUAGACCUCAAGCGUAGUAAAAUCUCCAGCUUUUCAGGUUUGACGCUGCUUUGCCUCUAGAAACCCAUCAUUUCAAAGGUUGACCUCGGAUCAGGUAGGGAUACCCGCUGAACUUAA